rnacentral:rRNA from 1 species
UACGUAGGUGGCAAGCGUUGUCCGGAAUUAUUGGGCGUAAAGCGCGCGCAGGUGGUUUCUUAAGUCUGAUGUGAAAGCCCACGGCUCAACCGUGGAGGGUCAUUGGAAACUGGGGAACUUGAGUGCAGGAGAGAAGAGUGGAAUUCCACGUGUAGCGGUGAAAUGCGUAGAGAUGUGGAGGAACACCAGUGGCGAAGGCGGAUCUCUGGGCCGAUACUGACGCUGAGGAGCGAAAGCGUGGGGAGCGAACAGG